GUGAACGCUGGCGGCGUGCUUAACACAUGCAAGUCGUGCGCGAUUGGGGGCAACUCCAGUUGAGCGGCGAACGGGUGCGUAACACGUGGUUAACCUACCGAAAUGUGGGGGAUACCCCGGGGAAACUCGGGACAAUACCGCAUGAGCUCCCUGAGGCGAAAGCCAUGGGGAAGAAAGCCGGGGACCGCAAGGCCUGGCGCAUUUCGAGGGGACCGCGGCCGAUUAGCUAGUUGGCGGGGUAAUGGCCCACCAAGGCGACGAUCGGUAGCCGGCCUGAGAGGGUGAUCGGCCACACCGGAACUGAGACACGGUCCGGACUCCUACGGGAGGCAGCAGUGGGGAAUUUUGCGCAAUGGGCGAAAGCCUGACGCAGCAACGCCGCGUGGAGGAUUGAAGGUGCUCUGCACUGUAAACUCCUGUCGCCCGGGAAGAAGGGGUGGAUGGUAAAUAGCCGUCUGCUUUGACUGUACCGGGAGAGGAAGCCCCGGCUAACUCCGUGCCAGCAGCCGCGGUAAUACGGAGGGGGCAAGCGUUACUCGGAAUUAUUGGGCGUAAAGGGCGCGUAGGCGGUCUUGUGCGUCGGAGGUGAAAUCCCCGGGCUUAACCCGGGAGCUGCCUCCGAUACGGCAGGACUUGAGUCCGGGAGAGGAGAGCAGAAUUCCCAGUGUAGCGGUGAAAUGCGUAGAUAUUGGGAGGAAUACCAGUGGCGAAGGCGGCUCUCUGGACCGGUACUGACGCUGAGGCGCGAAAGCAUGGGGAGCAAACAGGAUUAGAUACCCUGGUAGUCCAUGCUGUAAACGAUGGGUGCUUGGUGUCGGGGGUAUCGACCCCUCCGGUGCCGAAGCUAACGCAUUAAGCACCCCGCCUGGGGAGUACGGUCGCCAGGCUGAAACUC
rnacentral:rRNA from 1 species